rnacentral:rRNA from 1 species
GAUGAACGCUAGCGGCAGGCAUAAUACAUGCAAGUUGAACGGGAUUCAGAUAGCAAUAUUUGAUGAGAGUGGCGCACGGGUGCGUAACACGUAUGCAACUUACCUUAAACUGGGAGAUAGCCCGUGGAAACAUGGAUUAAUAUCCCAUAGUAUAAAGAACAGGCAUUUGUUUUUUAUUAAAGCUCCGGCGGUUUAAGAUGGGCUCGCGUGACAUUAGCUAGUUGGUGGGGUAACGGCCCACCAAGGCGACGAUGUCUAGGGGCUCUGAGAGGAGAAUCCCCCACACUGGUACUGAGACACGGACCAGACUCCUACGGGAGGCAGCAGUAAGGAAUAUUGGUCAAUGGGGGCAACCCUGAACCAGCCAUGCCGCGUGCAGGACGACUGCCCUAUGGGUUGUAAACUGCUUUUGUUAGGGAAUAAACCCCGCUACGUGUAGCGGGCUGAAUGUACCUAAAGAAUAAGGAUCGGCUAACUCCGUGCCAGCAGCCGCGGUAACAC